GGCCACAGGCGGAGCCAGCGCUCCGCCGCGGCUUUCGGACUCGGACCAUGGCCUCGUGCAGGUGGCCCUGGCGGCGCUGCUGCUCCUGGAGGCCGGCGGCCCGGAGCCCCGGGCCCGCCUCGCCUGGCCGCGCAGGGCCGCCCGGGCCGCCCUCCGCCGCGGACGCUGGCGCUCAGAUGUCCUAUUUUAAUCUUGUGAAGAGUCUAACAUCUGCUUUUCCAAAUAGGUAUAGUAUGUCAUGGUUCCACCACACAACGUCAGCAGUGUGCUGUUGUAGUAAAACACAGAGUGGCGAGAAAUACACCGAUCCUUUCAAACUUGGUUGGAGAGACUUGAACGGUCUGUAUGAGGACAUUAGAAAGGAACUACUCAUAUCUACAACCGAACUUAAGGAAAUGUCUGAAUACUACUUUGAUGGUAAAGGAAAAGCCUUUCGACCAAUUAUUGUGGUGCUAAUGGCCCGGGCAUGUAAUAUUCAUCACAGUAACUCCCGAGAUGUGCAAGCAAGCCAGCGCUCCAUAGCCUUAAUUGCAGAAAUGAUCCACACUGCUAGUCUGGUACACGACGAUGUCAUUGACGAUGCAAGUUCUCGGAGAGGAAAACACACGGUUAAUAAGAUCUGGGGUGAAAAGAAGGCUGUUCUUGCUGGCGAUUUAAUUCUUUCUGCAGCAUCCAUGGCUCUGGCACGAAUUGGAAAUACCACUGUUAUAUCUAUUUUAACGCAAGUUAUUGAAGAUUUGGUGCGUGGUGAAUUUCUUCAGCUAGGGUCAAAAGAAAAUGAGAAUGAAAGAUUUGCACACUACCUUGAAAAGACCUUCAAGAAGACUGCCAGCCUGAUAGCCAACAGUUGUAAAGCAGUCUCUGUCCUAGGAUGCCCGGACCCGGUGGUGCAUGAGAUUGCCUAUCAAUACGGAAAAAAUGUGGGCAUAGCCUUUCAGCUGAUAGAUGAUGUGUUGGACUUCACCUCAUGUUCUGACCAGAUGGGCAAACCAACGUCCGCGGAUCUGAAGCUUGGCUUAGCCACGGGCCCAGUCUUAUUUGCUUGCCAACAGGAUUACUAAUACCGUGGUGGUGGUUACAGGACAACAACUUCAGACUCCCUGCCAGGGAAAAACUGGCAACUGCUGUAAGCGCUGAUGUGUCCAAAACCAAACAUAUCCUACCUCUUAUUUCAUGGAACCAGAAGCUGUUAGAGCUGAUGGGGAGGCUAGGACCUCAGGUUAUGGAGCUCACUCAACUGUGGAGGCACCAUGACUGGAGUUCCCAUGUAGAAAAUGAAGGGAUCUGGUGUCCUGACUUCCUGAUUUUGUUCACGGUGACAAUUCUCUGAAUUGUUGCUUAGUAUUGCGGAAUACAGAAUUAACUACAGUAAUGUGACUGGCCUGUCUACCUCUGUCUCCUAAUUCAGUGGUUCUCAAGCUUGGCUGCACAUUAAAAACCCCUGGAGUGCUUCUAAAAUCCUUAUGCACAAGCCGGACCACCCCACACCUCCCACUCCACCCUCUGCCCCAGCUAAUAAUAGAAGCAGAAUCUUUGGGAGCAGAUCCAGGCCACCAUGAACUUCCCAAGCGACUCCAGUGUGCAGUCAGCAUUGAGUACCCCUGCUCUGAUCCGCUUGACAAGCUGCUGAGGUAGAGCUCUGCUCAGAACACCCUCUGCCUGGAUACCUCAGUAGCUUUCAGGUGUCACCCAGUUUAGCACUACAAGUAGAAUGCCUAGAAUUCCCAGCCUGCUCCUAGGCCACUGCUUCUCAAACUGUCAGCAGGGUCAACAGAGUCCGUAUCAUCAGAACCUGUUAGAAAUGCAUGCUCAGGCCCAACCUACUCAUCACGAAACUUGGAGGGAGUGGCCCAAUAGGCCUCUGGUGAUCUGGUGCAAUCUAAAGUUUGAGAACUACAAGAGAAGCCACUAAGGAGAUUUUAGGGACGUACUUUGUUCCUUUGCUCUUUUUACUCAGUGUUGGACCGAGGAUAGAAUAGAACACCAGAAAGAACGAGGACCAAUAGUUACCUCUCCUGAGCAGCAGCUCAGUCCCUGGGCAUGGAAAAAGGAGGUCUCUUAGCUCUGCUUCUUUAAUUGCUACAAUUUACUGCCCACCCCCCACCAUCUAAACAUUUAAUCCUUUUUGGAUUUUUCUCCUGUUGUUGCAAACUUAGUGUUAGAACAUUUGAUUCUCACAAGAGCAAUAAAUAGAUUUCUUUCUUUAUGGUUAGUUCCCAGAAAUGAACGCUAUGAUAAUGAGACGGUUCAGUUUGCCUGGAGAUGUGGACAGAGCUCGACAAUAUGUAUUGCAGAGUGAUGGUGUGCAGCAAACAACCUACCUCGCGCAGCGGUACUGCCAUGAAGCAAUCAGAGAAAUCAG